UACGAAGGGGGGCUAGCGUUGCUCGGAAUUACUGGGCGUAAAGCGUGCGCAGGCGGUAAUGUAAGACAGGUGUGAAAUCCCCGGGCUUAACCUGGGAACUGCAUUUGUGACUGCAUUGCUGGAGUGCGGCAGAGGGGGAUGGAAUUCCGCGUGUAGCAGUGAAAUGCGUAGAUAUGCGGAGGAACACCGAUGGCGAAGGCAAUCCCCUGGACCUGUACUGACGCUCAUGCACGAAAGCGUGGGGAGCAAACAGG
rnacentral:rRNA from 1 species